GGAAUUUUGGACAAUGGGGGCAACCCUGAUCCAGCAAUGCCGCGUGAGUGAUGAAGGCCUUCGGGUUGUAAAGCUCUUUUGUCAGGGAAGAAACAGCAGCUCUAACACAGUCUGCGAAUGACGGUACCUGAAGAAUAAGCACCGGCUAACUACGUGCCAGCAGCCGCGGUAAUACGUAGGGUGCGAGCGUUAAUCGGAAUUACUGGGCGUAAAGCGUGCGCAGGCGGUUAUACAAGACAGGCGUGAAAUCCCCGGGCUUAACCUGGGAAUGGCGUCUGUGACUGUAUAGCCAGAGUGUGUCAGAGGGGGGUGGAAUUCCACGUGUAGCAGUGAAAUGCGUAGAUAUGUGGAGGAACACCAAUGGCGAAGGCAGCCCCCUGGGAUAACACUGACGCUCAUGCACGAAAGCGUGGGGAGCAAACAGGAUUAGAUACCCUGGUAGUCCACGCCCUAAACGAUGCUGACUAGUUGUUGGGAAUUUACAUUCUCAGUAACGUAGCUAACGCGUGAAGUCAGCCGCCUGGGGAGUACGGUCGCAAGAUUAAAACUCAAAUGAAUUGACGG
rnacentral:rRNA from 1 species